UCGCCCUACAAGCGAGAGAGCGGCGCGGUGGCCCGUGGCACACCGGUCCAUGGCGGCGUGGUGGCUUUGUUCGCCGGAGCAGCGUGCUGUGAAUUGAAUCCCGCGCGCUCCUCCAUCGAACAUGGCGGCCCACGUCGUGCGCAUGGCAUAGAGGCGGAGAGAUUGGAGGGCCGAACGCCGACGCCUGUGCUUGAGGGUUUGACGACGACGUGUGCGGCGCGGAGGCCACUCAGCGUGCCUGUCCGUAAGAUGCGGCGCCGGCUCCUUCGUCUCUUUUUGCAUGCCGUCCCGAGAGAUGGCGUGUUUCGGCCAAGAUGAGCACGCAUGGAGGCGGCCAUGGUGAGCACGCAUGGCUGCUGUCAUCAAUAACGUUCUGAUGGAAGCCUUGUUCCUGCUUGAUGCACUCCUCAUGUAGCCUAUGGCUACACCUUGCCUCGAAACAUGAAGAUGGUUGGAGAAGAAGUGCAGGAACAGGACCUCAAAGCAAGCAGCAAGAGCGCCGCAGAAGGACUGGCCGCCGGCACUGACCUUGCGGUGGCCGGCGGUGGUAGUCGGUCUUCUGAUCACCUUGAGCGCCUUCUUUUAAGGAUCGGUUGUUAGCAAGUUGUAUUGACUCGGACAUGUGUGUGUUUUUCUAUUUUGAAGGGCUA